AGUGAACGCUGGCGGUAGGCCUAACACAUGCAAGUCGAACGGCAGCACAGGAGAGCUUGCUCUCUGGGUGGCGAGUGGCGGACGGGUGGGGAAUACAUCGGAAUCUACUCUGUCGUGGGGGAUAACGUAGGGAAACUUACGCUAAUACCGCAUACGACCUACGGGUGAAAGCAGGGGACCUUCGGGCCUUGCGCGAUUGAAUGAGCCGAUGUCGGAUUAGCUAGUUGGCGGGGUAAAGGCCCACCAAGGCGACGAUCCGUAGCUGGUCUGAGAGGAUGGUCAGCCAAACUGGAACUGAGAAACGGUCCAGACUCCUACGGGAGGCAGCAGUGGGGAAUAUUGGACAAUGGGCGCAAGCCUGAUCCAGCCAUACCGCGUGGGUGAAGAAGGCCUUCGGGUUGUAAAGCCCUUUUGUUGGGAAAGAAAUCCAGCUGGCUAAUACCCGGUUGGGAUGACGGUACCCAAAGAAUAAGCACCGGCUAACUUCGUGCCAGCAGCCGCCGUAA
rnacentral:rRNA from 1 species